rnacentral:rRNA from 1 species
UACGUAGGGGGCGAGCGUUGUCCGGAUUUAUUGGGCGUAAAGAGCGUGUAGGCGGCCAGGUAGGUCUGCUGUGAAAACUCGAGGCUCAACCUCGAGACGUCGGCGGAAACCAUCUGGCUAGAGUCCGGAAGAGGAGAGUGGAAUUCCUGGUGUAGCGGUGAAAUGCGUAGAGAUGUGGAGGAACACCAGUGGCGAAGGCGACUCUUUGGUCUGUAACUGACGCUGAGGCGCGAAAGCGUGGGGAGCAAACAGG